CAUUCAUAAAAUAACAGAGAAACAUGUUUAUGUAUGAAAAAAUAUUUUCUGAGGCAUUAUCUACUUAAGGGAGUUAAAUUUGUGCAUUAGAAUUCAAUCAGUCCUGUCUUAUUUCCCUCCCGUUCCCCCACAGUUGUCUAAAAAUGGUCAUGAAGGUACGGAUGACGACUUACUUAUUGUGUCUAUGAAACAAAUACAAUAAACACAAUACACAAUUUGGUACAUUCGUAAAAAGAAGAAAUGCACUAGCAAGCUCAGCAACACCAGAAGGACUGGAAGACCAGGGAAGACAACUAAAGUGGAUGAUCGCAGAAAUCUUUCCUUGGUGAAGAAAAACCCCUUCACAACAUCUAGCCAAGUCAAGAACACUCUGGAGGAGGUAGGCGUAUUGUUGUCAAAGUCUACAAUCAAGAGACGCCUUCAUGAGCGUAAAUACAGACGCAUCCCACUGGAAACACUCAAGAACAGAAAGGCCAGAUUUAGAUAGACUUUGCUUUUAAAAUAAAGAAACCCUCUAGAAAAGCCUGACCAGUUCUGAUGCAAGGGUUAGGGUUAGGAUUAACUUGUACCAGAAUGAUGGAAGAGAAGAGUAUGAAGAAGGAAAGGAAGUGCUCAUCUGUCACACAUGGUGGAGGUGGUGUUAUGGAAUGGGCAUGUAUGGCUGCCAAUGGAACUGGUUCACUCAUGUUUCCUUUUAUUUAAAAUUAAAGUCCUCCUGGCUGAGACUGAAUAGACUGAAUUCACCCAACGAUGAAAGUAAAAUGCGAAAAGUAAAAAUUUUCCCAUCAUUUAAUUCAAAAAUUGGAACUUUCAUAUAUUGUAGAUUCUUUACAUAUAAAGUGAAAUAUGUCAACCCUUUUUUGUUUUAAUGUAAAUGAUUACAGCCUACAGGCUUACAUAUGGCACUUAUAUGUGGCUCUUAAACCACUUUCACACCCAAAAUGGAGCCUUUUCCCUAAAACAUGCCACAAUUAAACAGUUUGUGUUCCACCCGCAUUCCGACAAUACAAUUCCCUUACUGGCUAAAUAAAUUAGCGCGGAUUAACCAAACUGCUAGCGAUAACUCAUCAUUUUUGAAGUUCAGAACUAUACUCGUUUGCAGAGAUGAAAAAUCAAUGUUUUUUUGUGUUUUGUUUUGGUUUUUUUUGUUUGUUUUUGUCACAGAAAAACACAGAAAGUGUAAAUAAAGCGAGUAAAUCCGCGUUUGAAGGACCCUUUAGUUAUCUAUGAAAUUCGCCUGAUCAAAAUGCACAUCUUUUUUUUUAUGUCUGUCCAUUAAAAAAAAAUAAAAAAAAAAGAUUUAAUUAAUUCAUAAUUCACUGAAUCGAAUUGAAAUAGAACUUAAUUAAAAUAUCAAUUUAAAUGUUGUAUUGUAGACGUCAGGUGCACAAUACAGUUCUACAAACCAUAUGAAGAAUGUACCAUUUCACACAGCUAAAUAGGGAUUUUAAGAUGCUUUAAAAUUUAGUCAGUUUUCCAAAACAAAAAAGAGAUUAUAAAACAUUAUAAAACAUAUAGAAACUUUUAUAAAAUAUGCUUGGUAGAUAUUAACAGAGGCGGUUCCCACAGAGCAGGUUGUACCACGUGAUCUGAAAAGUUAAAGUGAGAGUUAAAGUUGUUCUCUUUGUACGGAAACAUGGAGACUGAUCUGAUGCGUUGUUUUUAUCUGUUGCUGUUGAUGGUCAUCUGUGACGGGUUCCAUGUCCAUGGUCCGUCUGAUCCUCUCAUUGUCCAGCUGGGAGGCUCAGUGAUGCUGCCCUGCUUUGUAGAGACUCCUCUACCAAUGCAAGAACUGGAAAUAAAGUGGAAAAGAAAUGACUCUGAAACUCUAGUGCACUUGUGGCAGGACGGAGAGAGUCAUCCGGAUUCUCAGAACCCGAGUUAUCGUGAAAGAGCUCAUUUCUUCAUUGAGGAGAUCGCUCAGGGAAACUUCUCUCUCUUCCUGACGAACGUGACCCGGGAAGACGCAGGAGUUUAUAAGUGUGCUGUUUACACAAAACAUAACUCUGAUGAAAUUCUGAUUGAAAUAAAGGAGAUUGAGCGUUUGAUCGUGUCUGGAGCCCACGUCAUAUCUGCGUAUGCGGGUGAAGAUAUCACUCUGAAUUGCUCUGUAGACUCACAUAUCCCAGCAGAAAAUAUAGAACAGGUCUCAUGGAUGAAAAUGGAUGGAGAGAUCUUAGUGCUGCUCUAUGAACAUGGUGAGGUCCACACAGACUCGUCCCAUGAGAGAUACAUGGACAGAGUGGAAAUGUUCAGCGCUGAAGAAAGAAACAAAGGAAACUUCUCAUUGAGACUGAAGGAUGUCCGAACUGACGAUAAAGGGCUGUAUACAUGUUUAGCAUUCUCUGGGGCAUUCUCAGAUAACACAACUGUGGAAGUGCAGCAGCUGGGUUUUUCCUCUAUGCAGGUUGGAAUUUUUGUUUUAUGUGCACUGGGAUUUGUAAUUGGAUCACUUAUCCUAGGAUACUUCUCUUAUACAUCUUUUAAAAAUAAUGAUGACAGCAGAAGAGCCCUAGCUAUACAAUUGGGACAUGUAAUUUGUCCUAAUAUUACUAUGGUCAUUGUCUUCAUCCUUUGGGGUGUUACUGAUGGGUUUUUGACAGAAGCAGCAACUUGUUCAGCACUGAACGGUGUUCGGAUCCUUUUUCUACUUUGGAUUGCUCUCCACUUGAAAACAUUUGAAGGUUAUCCCCGCCAAAUAAUUAACCGCUUGGCAAUUCAACUACAAUAUGCAGUGAUAACUGUUGUUGUUUAUUCACCUAUUGUUGUGGAUGUCUGGUAUAAUGUAGACACUGGAGGGAAAAUGUUUCUUCUGAUAUGUCUGCUACUGGGGCCACUUCUGACUCUUCUGUAUAUUCUAUAUGUUAUCACUACUAUGUGCCGUGGAAGGACUCUACAAAAACGAGCAAGCUUAAGUUACAUUAUUACAGAACUCAGCAAUUGUCUACGAAUAUGUGUUAUUAUAAAUAUAUAUAGACUUCAUCCAGGACUUCUGGCGUUGGCACUAAUUCCAUUUUUGGCAUGGAUUUGUUUUAUCUCUCAUUAUUAUUGCAAGCGUGUGUUUUUUUUACUCUGUAUAUUAUUGAUGAUCCUGGAGGUUCUAAGUGCAUCAGGGUCGAUCUAUGUCCAUUAUGCCAUUGCGGAUAAUGUGAAAGAACAUGACGCGCUGACCUGUGUGACUGCAUUCCUCCAAAUCUUGACCACGAUAACACUGUUUAUAAGUAUAAAGUAUUUAUCAGGUCGAGUAUCUGACUCCAGAAACACUGGGACACAGCAACGUUUGUUCCAUUUGGUUGUGUUCAUGUUUGGCUCAGUGGUGGUGGUUCUUGUGAACGCGGUUGUGUUAUUAGUGGAGCUGAUUCUAAAAGCGCAAACUGGCCAGCGUACAGUGGAUCUGUGCGUCGUUCUCCUACCGACUGAAUGCGUCUUUGCUGUGUGCUGCCUUGCUUUACAAAUAUCUGCAUUCUGGAAGAAGAACAGAGAAGAGUACUGUUAUAAAAAACAUUGACUGGCUGGGACGAUCGUGUGGGUGUAAACAGGAACACAGGGACUCACCUUCACAACAUGAUGAACGUGAACUUGAGAAUCUGGCUCCUGAAGCUCAGACCUCAGGGUCUUAGCAGAAAAGCAGAACGUACGGCGGUUUGGUGUUCUGGAGCACUCGGGUGUAUCUCUACAUCACGCUGAGAAGAAAGGACAUCAUCCAUGACCUGAACAGACUGGACGCACUCGUCUGAUCACCUCAGGGAUUGUUUUAAAGAUGCUUGUAAUGUGUUGUAUAUAAAUAUAUAUAUAUAUAUAUAUAUUUUACCAUCUUUUGUGUGACACUUAAAUGUGAGUUUCUUGUCUUCAUGUUUGCGCCUCCUGUAGAAUAGUUUUUAUUAUCUAAUUUCUCUAUAUAAUGACUGGAUUUAUUCAUUUAUUACCUGUUUUGAGACAUUUUAUUUUAUUGUUUUUUAUUGUUUAUUUUAUUUAGAUGCUCAGAGUUAUUUAUAAUAACAACAGAUAAAACAGAGUUAUUUAAUAUUUAUAUUCAGUACACAUAAAUCAGAUGACAUAUUAUAUAAGAGUGAUGCUGGAAAGGUAUUAUAAGUAAUGCAUUUCUAUAAUUGUAUAUAACAUUUCUUUAUUAUUUUUGUUUAGUUCUUUUGCAUUUCAAGAGUUAAGUCUGAUUGCAGCGAGAGGAAACAUGGCGUGCUGUAUGUUAAAACAAUGAGAAUUCUUUUUCUUUCUUUCUUUAAAAAUAAAAUCUGUAAAGUUGUGUAAUGUA